AAAAUUAAAGUGCAUUACAUGAAAUACAAUGUAUCAAUCCUCAUAUGUUGUUGACCAAUAACAUUGAAAGUCAAGGUCAAACAAUCAAAAACAGAAGUGAGAUGAAAAUUGGGAGUCAAGAAAUGAUUAAACUAUUUUUGGCAUUUUAAAAUUAAACUCAAAUUUAAAAUAAUGGAAAGGUCAAACUUCAAAAUUACUUCAAAUCAACCUUGAAAGGUCCAAGUAAUUUAUCCCAAGUUCAACAAGGUCAAACAAAGUUUGACAAAAAAUUUCAGCAUUUUUA
rnacentral:lncRNA from 1 species